rnacentral:rRNA from 1 species
AGUGAACGCUGGCGGUAGGCCUAACACAUGCAAGUCGAACGGCAGCACAGUAAGAGCUUGCUCUUACGGGUGGCGAGUGGCGGACGGGUGAGGAAUACAUCGGAAUCUACUUUUUCGUGGGGGAUAACGUAGGGAAACUUACGCUAAUACCGCAUACGACCUACGGGUGAAAGCAGGGGAUCUUCGGACCUUGCGCGAUUGAAUGCGCCGAUGUCGGAUUAGCUAGUUGGCGGGGUAAAGGCCCACCAAGGCGACGAUCCGUAGCUGGUCUGAGAGGAUGAUCAGCCACACUGGAACUGAGACACGGUCCAGACUCCUACGGGAGGCAGCAGUGGGGAAUAUUGGACAAUGGGCGCAAGCCUGAUCCAGCCAUACCGCGUGAGUGAAGAAGGCCUUCGGGUUGUAAAGCCCUGUUGUUGGGAAAGAAAAGCAGCAGGUUAAUACCCCGCGGUUCUGACGGUACCCAAAGAAUAAGCACCGGCUAACUUCGUG